CCUACGGGAGGCUGCAGUGAGGAAUAUUGGUCAAUGGGCGGAAGCCUGAACCAGCCAAGUCGCGUGAGGGAUUAAGGCCCUGCGGGCCGUAAACCUCUUUUGCCGGGGAGCAGUGGUCCGGACGCGUCCGGACCGGGAGAGUACCCGGAGAAAAAGCAUCGGCUAACUCCGUGCCAGCAGCCGCGGUAAGACGGAGGAUGCGAGCGUUAUCCGGAUUUAUUGGGUUUAAGGGGUGCGUAGGCGGGCAUUUAAGCCGGCGGUCAAAUGCCGGGGCUCAACCGCGGCCUGCCGUCGAAACUGGGUGCCUUGAGUGGACGAGAAGUGUGCGGAAUGCGUGGUGUAGCGGUGAAAUGCGUAGAUAUCACGCAGAACCCCAGUUGCGAAGGCAGCAUACCGGCGCGCUACUGACGCUGAGGCACGAAAGUGCGGGUAUCGAACAGGAUUAGAUACCCUUGUAGUC
rnacentral:rRNA from 1 species